GAUGAACGCUAGCGACAGGCCUAACACAUGCAAGUCGAGGGGCAGCACAAAGUAGCAAUACUUGGUGGCGACCGGCGCACGGGUGAGUAACACGUAUGCAACCUACCUGUAAGCGGGGAAUAACCCGGAGAAAUUCGGACUAACACCGCAUAAUACUGAAUUACUGCAUGGUUUUUCAGUUAAAUAUUUAUAGCUUACAGAUGGGCAUGCGUAUGAUUAGAUAGUUGGUAGGGUAACGGCCUACCAAGUCAACGAUCAUUAGGGGUUCUGAGAGGAAGGUCCCCCACACUGGUACUGAGACACGGACCAGACUCCUACGGGAGGCAGCAGUGAGGAAUAUUGGUCAAUGGGCGAGAGCCUGAACCAGCCAAGUCGCGUGAAGGAAGAAGGUUCUAUGGAUUGUAAACUUCUUUUGUAAGGGAAUAAAAAGAGUACGUGUACUCUAUUGUAUGUACUUUACGAAUAAGGAUCGGCUAACUCCGUGCCAGCAGCCGCGGUAAAACGUAG
rnacentral:rRNA from 1 species